UGUGCAGGCGGGCGACCAAGUGGUGUAUGAAAUCUCCGGGCCUAAAGCGGAGGGGUUAUGCCAGACUGGUCGUCUUGAGCGUGAGAGAGGGACACGGAAUUCCGGGUGUAGUGGUGAAAUGCGUAGAGAUCCGGAGGAACCCCAGAGGCGAAGGCGGUGUCCUGGCUCACGGCUGACGCUCAGCCACGACAGCAUGGGGAGCGAACGGGAUUAGAAACCCCGGUAGUCCAUGCCGUAAACGAUGCCAACUAGGCGCUGGGGGUCUCAACCCCCUCGGUGCCGCAGCUAACGCGCUAAGUUGGCCGCCUGGGGAGUACGACCGCAAGGUUAAA
rnacentral:rRNA from 1 species